UGCAGUCGACGGUGAAGAGGAGCUUGCUCCUUGGAUCAGUGGCGAACGGGUGAGUAACACGUGAGCAAUCUGCCCUUGACUCUGGGAUAACUGCGGGAAACUGUAGCUAAUACCGGAUAUUACCUUGGAAGGCAUCUUCUGGGGUGGAAAGAAUUUUGGUCAAGGAUGAGCUCGCGGCCUAUCAGCUAGUUGGUGAGGUAAUGGCUCACCAAGGCGACGACGGGUAGCCGGCCUGAGAGGGUGACCGGCCACACUGGGACUGAGACACGGCCCAGACUCCUACGGGAGGCAGCAGUGGGGAAUAUUGCACAAUGGGCGCAAGCCUGAUGCAGCAACGCCGCGUGAGGGACGACGGCCUUCGGGUUGUAAACCUCUUUUAGUAGGGAAGAAGCGACUGGGUUUUCCUGGGAGUGACGGUACCUGCAGAAAAAGCACCGGCUAACUACGUGCCAGCAGCCGCGGUAAUACGUAGGGUGCAAGCGUUGUCCGGAAUUAUUGGGCGUAAAGAGCUCGUAGGCGGUUUGUCGCGUCUGCUGUGAAAACCCGAGGCUCAACCUCGGGCCUGCAGUGGGUACGGGCAGACUAGAGUGCGGUAGGGGAGAUUGGAAUUCCUGGUGUAGCGGUGGAAUGCGCAGAUAUCAGGAGGAACACCAAUGGCGAAGGCAGAUCUCUGGGCCGUAACUGACGCUGAGGAGCG
rnacentral:rRNA from 1 species